AUCUCGGGCGCCGCUGUGGCGAGUGCUCUAACCAGCUCCAGAUCGCUACACUCUACAGAAUAAUUCUUCAACUUAUCAAUCUUGCUACUGGUAUUCAUCCACCACUAGGUCCUUUAUCUGGAUGUGUUAUUAGUUCUUCGCAACUCCCAAUUCCGAUCCGUUCUAGAGGGUAAGUAUUUUUUUAAAUGAAUGAACAGGAAAACUGUGUCUUAGUAAAAAAAAAUCAUGUUUCAUUUGUGUAUGCGACAUUUAAGGACAGUGCCAUCUGGAGAACUUGUUCAUUGGUGCUUUCCAUGAGGUUUAUGGUAAGAUUAUAUAUUUGUUUGUUUGUUGCGACAGAAAUUAUAGAGUUGUUUUCCCUCUAUUGUCUUUAUCUAUUCACUUUGAUACAAUACACAAUUAAAUGAUCGGGGUUUUGAAUACAUAGCAUGGGUUCCUUGUGUUGGAGGCAUUUGACACAAGCCUUUGCUGCUGUAUAGCCAAGCUGGAUUCUUUACAUUCUCAGAAUUACAUUUAUCAUUUUCCCUCUUGGAAGCUAAAAAAGAAUAGUAAAUGUAUUUUGUUCAUAGCUAGGCAUACUUUGUUCUUGGAAGGCAUAGUUUGUUAUUAAAUUCUAAACAGUUUUAUAAAUGGUGACAAAUAAAGGGUUGUUAUUAAUUUCUAGGGAUACUGAAAUUUUUGGCUUGUACUGAAUUGUUUAUGGACCUAUUAAAAUAUCCCCUUGCACUGAAAUUUGAUUUCUACUGACUUUUUUUUAAAGAUACCUAAGACUUCUUGUGCUAAAAUUACCCUGUUACUAAAAUUUGCCUUGCUACUGUUGUACUAAAAUUUAACUAUUUAGUAGGAAGGAAGAGCACAAGAGGGAGCAAAAAAGAACAAGGAGAAAGCGACGCUUAGGAGAAGUUAGCUCAAAAUCCACUUACAUGAUUCGUGGUUUUGCCUAACCACUACUUGAUUCGUGAUAGCAUUGCACCAGACACAUAACAUCCAGUUGUAUAAUUGUAUAAGUAGAGUGUACUUGAUGCCUAUUCAUCUUUAUUCAUCCUUCUGUUUUCAUCUUUGGGUCUAUUUGACUUGUUUCCUGAAUAAAUUAUGGACCCCCUUAGCUGGCAAACGGUCACUGGGAGGGUUUGGAAUUUGCGAAUGAUUUCAGUGCCAUUUUUUAGUUAGAGGGGAUGGCAGUUUCUUCAGAGCGACAGGGCGGUUUCUGUCAGAGAAGGUAAUUUCCGUUUUUAAAACUGUCAUCGUUUGAUCUCG
rnacentral:lncRNA from 1 species